rnacentral:rRNA from 1 species
CCUACGGGUGGCAGCAGUGAGGAAUAUUGGUCAAUGGACGGAAGUCUGAACCAGCCACGCCGCGUGCAGGAAGACGGCUUUAUGAGUUGUAAACUGCUUUUGUACAAGGGUAAACCUGAAUACGUGUAUUCAGCUGAACGUACUGUACGAAUAAGGAUCGGCUAACUCCGUGCCAGUAGCCGCGGUAAUCCGGAGGAUCCAAGCGUUAUCCGGUUUUAUUGGGUUAAAGGGGUGCGUAGGCGGGUUGAUAAGUUAGAGGUAAAAGUCCGAGCUAAACUCGGGAACUGCCUCGAAUACUGUUGGUCUGGAGAGUAGAAGCGGUAGGCGGAAUGUAUGGUGUAGCGGUGAAAUGCUUAGAUAUCAUACAGAACACCGAUUGCGAAGGCAGCUUGCCAAUCAAUAUCUGACGUUGAGGCACGAAAGCGUGGGGAGCAAACAGGAUUAGAUACCCCAGUAGUC